GGGGAUUUAGCUCAGUGGUAGAGCGCUUGCCUAGCAAGCACUAGGCCCUGGGUUCAGUCCCCAGCUCCG
rnacentral:tRNA from 1 species